ACCUACGUGGUGUAACGGUAGCACACUCGACACGUAUUCCAGAGGUCCAGGUUCGAGUCCCGGCGAUGGAA
rfam:Stegodyphus mimosarum contig61053, whole genome shotgun sequence.